CGUCCCCGGGCUGUGCCUGGGCUCCCGGGCUUCUCUCUCCUUUCUUGGGGACGGAAGGUGGAAGCUGUUUGGCUGAAGAUGCGGGUCGGAAGUACCGUAGUUUAUGUAUGCUAAUAGGGGGAGUUGGGGGUUGUAGCUACAUAUUUACGUUCAGUGGGAGCCGCCCUUCAUUCACCCACAUGGUUACCAACUGGUCGCUUUCCUUCGCGCCACUUUACUAACCUCCUAAUCAUUUUAAACAGGCGCAGCUGGCUUCAAAUGGGCUCGCUGUCGACUCGGAUCUUACUUUGUGCUUUUCCUUCGUGUGUCGAUAGUAAAGUUUUGGAGAUAGUUGCGUAUUUAUUUCUCUCUUUUGUCGGUAAGAGGCAAGACUGCAGCCCAAGCAAGUGAGCGAAGAUGGUGGAUUUCGGCUGAUUCCUCGUGGACUGGAGACUUUCAAGAGGAGAAAACACCUGCUGAAUGAAGACUGCGUUGGUGCUGUUGAGUCUGGAGUAUUGUCAAAGUGCUUACAGUGCAGGUAGUACUAUGUCAAACCUACUGCAGUGGAGGCACUUAAAGCAAUACCCUGACACUGGUGCUCUUUGUAGUGUGUGACUAAAGUACUGUCUUUGUGCUAAGGUGCAUCUAGUGCAGAUAGUGACAUAGACUAGCACCUACUGCCCUAAGUGCUCCUUCUGGCAUAAGGGGCUGUAAUAUGCGCCACCACUCCAAUUUGACUCUAAUUGGGCCUAAAUUUCUCGCAGUUCUCUGCUAGUUUUGCAUAGUUGCACUACAAGAAUAGAUGAGUUGUGCAAAUCUAUGCAAAACUGAUGGUGGCCUGCUUGCUCUACUCCUGUUAGAUUGGUUGUUUGAGGUGUUUGUUUAUGGAUCCAGGAUUUGAGUUGUUAUCCAGUGACUUGAAGUUUCAGCAGUACUAAAGUGCUUAUAGUGCAGGUAGUGUUCUUCAAUCUACUGCAAUGUGAGCACUUGAAGUACUUCUAACUAACUGCAUCUGAUGGUGCAAUGUCCCCACAACCUUCUGCUUUCAAUCAUGACUGGGUGAGUUUUGCUGGUUUGCUUUCAGCUUUAACUAGUCGCUGUGCAAAUCCAUGCAAAACUGACUAGGUUAUGAAACUCCUUCCCUCGGUCGAUAUACAUCAUAUAAAUGUAGUAAUAAAAGCUCCUGUGUGCAGUUGAGUGUCCUUCUCUGUGCAGGUGGGGAUUAGUCGCAAUGCUGUGAUCCUCCAGGUAUUGCACUUGUCCCGGCCUGUGAAGGGAUGGAGCAGACCAAAUGUUUGUACUGUUGACCAAUGUAUUGCUAGAUGUUUUAACAUGUAAUGUGAUCAUGAGUUCAAAUAAACAUUUUGACAUGUUCCUUU